rnacentral:rRNA from 1 species
AUUGAACGCUGGCGGCAUGCCUUACACAUGCAAGUCGAACGGUAACAGGUCUUCGGAUGCUGACGAGUGGCGAACGGGUGAGUAAUAUAUCGGAACGUGCCCAGUAGUGGGGGAUAGCCCGGCGAAAGCCGGAUUAAUACCGCAUACGACCUGAGGGUGAAAGGGGGGGAUUCGCAAGGACCUCUCGCUAUUGGAGCGGCCGAUAUCAGAUUAGGUAGUUGGUGGGGUAAAGGCCUACCAAGCCUGCGAUCUGUAGUUGGUCUGAGAGGACGACCAGCCACACUGGGACUGAGACACGGCCCAGACUCCUACGGGAGGCAGCAGUGGGGAAUUUUGGACAAUGGGCGCAAGCCUGAUCCAGCAAUGCCGCGUGCAGGAAGAAGGCCUUCGGGUUGUAAACUGCUUUUGUCAGGGAAGAAAUCCUCUGGGUUAAUACCUCGGGGGGAUGACGGUACCUGAAGAAUAAGCACCGGCUAACUACGUGCCAGCCGCCGCAGUAAAAC